CGAAGCAGUUCUACAAGUCAGAGUUCCAUCCGAUCCUCGACGCCGGCUGGCUACGUUUUCAUUUCUCCACCACAUAUGGCUAUGGGGUCAAAUGAAGAGCGUAGUUUGACGAUUGAAGGGAACGAGACAGAAUUGAAGCAAAUCGAACCAGCUAGAAGCCGAUUUCCUUACUGCGUUGUGUGGAUCAACGCGCUAAUUUUGCAUUUGGUGCACCAACGCGCUACCUGCAGCUGAGCAAAGAGCAGUGCUGCACUUUUCUCGACUCUACUGCACAAGGUGGCAAUGGAAGGGAAGUCACAACCUGGGAUGACACGUUGCGAAAGAGCACACUAGAGUACCAGCACCAGGCCUACAACAUCUUGACUUGCAACUGCCAUUCCUUUGUGGCCAACUGUUUGAACAGGUUGAAGUUUCAGGCUGGCAAUUGGAAUGUGGCCUUGGUCUCGUCUUUGGAGGUGGGGCCUUCCUCACCUAUUUGUCCAUUUUCAUCUGUGUUCUUGUUGGGUGGUUUCUUCUUGGCACGUACUGUUGCAAAAACCUGAUCCAUGUGUAGCGCUGCGCUAAUUUUGUUAUCUGAUAAUAGUUGUGCGAGUGUUCACUAGAUGUUCAUACACUUGAGGCUUUGUACCUGGUUCUUGAGAAAGUGUUGAAUUCUUGCACUGGCAUAUCUAGAAAUGGAGCGAACAUGAUUUGCCGUAGUAGGCAAGGCGAGGGAGUCGAGACGAUACCGUGUUUACGAAACAAAAACUGGGACACUAUACAUUUUAGAACAUGAUAGUAGUAAACAAGUCGAGUCGAUCUCUUGUUACUUGUUUCCAAAGCAAGGACAAACGAAAUUUCACAACACGAUAGUCAAUAAGCAAAUCGAGUCGAUUUUGUGUUUGCAAAAUAAAAACAAUAGAAUAUUUGGUUUUUUGCUAAAUUAGAGGAUUCGGGUCAUGAAAAUUGAAAACAUUGAAAACAACGUAUGUGUAUAUAUGUAACUUUAUAAAAAGACACCAUAAAAAUUUGAAAUUUGGAAAUUUUGGGAUUAAUUGGAAACUGAUGCUAUACAAUAAAUGGAGUUAUAUCUAGAAAAUUAGAAAAUGAAAUGAAAAAAUAAUGUAAAACGUGAACGGGAUCGAAUAUUUUGAUUAAAUGUAGUUUUAAUUAUUAGGAGUAUCACAUUACAAAAUGUCUUCCCAAAUAUAUUGUGCAGAAAAAUGUACUCCAUUUGUAGUAGGGCUAUCAAAAUGGAUAUCGGGUAUUCAAUAUUGGGUACCUGAUAUCCAAACCCGAAAACCAAUUCCCGACUUUUCAGGUUUUUGGUUCGGGACCGGGUACUCAAUUUUUGGAUUUCCCGAUUUUUUUAAAAAUUUUAUAAAUGGUUAUUUAUCUUAAUUUUAAAAACAAAUAAAUUACUAUUAGUAAUUUACUAUUGACUGUUGAGUCAAACCCAAAUUCUGAUUUAGUAAAAUUAGGAUACCCCAAACGGCCAAACCCAAUUCCCAAUUCAAAUUCUCAGUUGAAGAAUAAAGUAGGCGUCGCUCCCUCUCCGCCUCCGGUCUCCCUCUCGUCCCUCCCUCCGCCGCCGUCAACUGUAGAAAUUCCAGCUGCUGCUUCUCACUGAACUGAAUCCCUGAUCAAUCUCUCUAUUUUUUCCCUGCAUUGGUUCCCAAAUCCAUUUCGAAUUUUGCAGUAAGCUAAAUCGGAGAUGGAGGAGGCUCCGAUUAUUACGAAAGGUCGAUACACAUACGUACACGAUGUCAAAAUCGGCUCACCCGAAGCAAUUGACGUUCACCACAUCUCCAUCGCGAGAAGCGCUGCAGAUUUUCUCUCUCUCUGCUCGUAUGCUCUUCGGUUAGCGGCUGCUUGCUUUCCGAUUUUAGCGCUUAUGCAGAAAUCGACGAGUGUCUAUGAUCUAUUGAUGCUGGAAAAACCAGUUGCUAUUGUUUUUUGGAGUUUUGUUGUGGCUGGGUUGCUCAUAAGGCGAAUUCUAAGAAAGCAAGUUGAGAAAGAAUCUGUUAUCAUUUUGCCAGCUUUUGGUGUUCAGCUUGAGACAGUUUACAGAAGUGGGAAAAUGGUACACCAGUUUGUUCCAAUUGACAAGAUCAUGAAAUCCGUCUUGAAUGAAUGUGUGACCCCAGUAACCUGCUACUGGAAUCUUUCUCUGAUUAUACGUGGAGAGGAUGAAUUGUUGCUAGCAUUCAAGGGAUUAUAUACUCCAAUCACAAUGUUAGUCCCCAUUUGGAAGGCUCUGUGUGCAGCCAUCGAUGACAAAAAAGGGGCUGACAUGCCUUCAAAUUGUGAUAACCGAUGAUGCAAGGAGUUGGAAUACACUAUUUUCUGGUUUAAAGCUGUUUAUUUCUCAACAGCUCGUACUUCCUAUUGUGAAGAGCUUGGAGCAUAUGGUGCCUGGAUUCCAGAUGCAGGCACUUCAAUAUUACUUCAAGUUUUUCUGAAGGAUUGAGGUAAAUUAUCUAUUGGUUGAGAAAAAAAAUCAACCUGUUGAUCCUUGAUUUUCAAAUUCAAAGGCAUCCAGUCCAAAUCCACACAUUUGAACUGCAACUGUAUCAUGAUGGAACUUGUUUUUCUUGCCUCUUUCCAUCAGUUGUAGCUGCUCCUAGAUGAUCAACUUUUGCUCUAUGCCUGUUACAACUAUGUGUAGGAAAAAACCUGCUGAAGAAAAUUAGCUUUUGUUACUGUUGUUUUCUGUAAA